UACGUAGGGGGCGAGCGUUAUCCGGAUUCACUGGGUGUAAAGGGAGCGUAGACGGCCAUGCAAGCCAGGGGUGAAAGCCCGGGGCCCAACCCCGGGACUGCCCUUGGAACUGCAUGGCUGGAGUGCGGGAGGGGCAGGCGGAAUUCCUGGUGUAGCGGUGAAAUGCGUAGAUAUCAGGAGGAACACCGGCGGCGAAGGCGGCCUGCUGGACCGCGACUGACGUUGAGGCUCGAAAGCGUGGGGAGCAAACAGG
rnacentral:rRNA from 1 species